GGGCUGCGGCCCGUGGCCUCCGGGACGCUGCGGCGCAGGGGAGCGGCUCGCGCGCGCCCCGGGCCCGGGUGUCGCCGCUGAGGGUGCGCCCCGCCCGCGCCCCCGCCACCAGCCCUUGCGGGUCACGCCGUCCGUGCGCGGGCCGCCGCCUGAGGUGGAGAGGUGGCGCCCGGGGUCUUCGGUGACCAUUGGCCUGGGGGCUGGGCUUGCUUCUGGUCUCCCGCGACCCUGUGAGCCAGGCUGGAGUCUGGGAACAGCGCUUGCGUUCCGGGCUCAGGGCCGCGCCUGGGCUGGAGAUGGACGCACGACCACCCGGACGCGGGCUGUCGUCGCCCGAGCUUGAGAGGCGGCGCCCAGGGUCUGGGGUGGCUUCUGGGUUGGAGGCGGAGUCGCACCUAGGGUCGGAUGGACGCUUGGGCUGUGAGCCUGGGGGUCGUUUCUGCGGCGUAGAAGAGGGGUUGCGCUUGGUGUGGGCGGGUGGAGCUUGCAGUCCAUCUGGAACCCGAGAAGGGAGUUGCGCGGGAGUCGGUUGGUGGGGUCUGGGGAUUGAGAGGUGGCGCCUGGGGUCAGGGACUGUAUCGAAGGGGGCGGAGAAUGGAGUCUAGUUGUGAAGUUAUCUGGGAUCGGACUUGGGGUGACACGCUCCGAGGAGGUGUGCGUCUUGAGUUGGGAGAUCUUAUCUGGGGACUGGGAAGUGGUAUUUGGGGUCAAGGGAUUGAGAAUCUGUUUGGAGUUACCUGGUCUCUGAGUUGGGGAGUGGCGCCUGGGGUCCAGGGACUGUGCCCGUGGAAAGGGGAGGGUACCAGGCCGUGGAAGUCAGAUGGACUCGGGCGGUAGGUGGGCGGGGGAGGGGUGGCUUCGUGUCUGGGACCCUGCCCCGCCGCGUCCCAGGGGCCUCCAGCCGGCGGCGGCUGCGGCCCGCAACGCUGUUUGUCUUUUUAGGUAUCUAAAGGAGUUUAGGACAGAGCAGUGCUCCCUGUUUUUGCAGCAUAAGUGCAGCCAGCACAGGCCGUUCACCUGUUUCCAUUGGCAUUUCCUAAAUCAGCGUCGGCGCAGACCGCUCCGACGGCGGGAUGGCACCUUCAACUACAGCCCGGACGUUUACUGCUCCAAGUACGAUGAGGCCACCGGCCUGUGUCCUGACGGCGACGAAUGCCCCUACCUGCAUCGAACAACUGGGGACACUGAGCGCAAGUACCACCUGCGCUACUACAAGACAGGCACAUGUAUCCAUGAAACAGAUGCACGGGGCCACUGUGUGAAGAAUGGCCUGCACUGUGCCUUCGCACAUGGGCCCCUGGACCUGCGGCCACCUGUGUGUGAUAUCAGGGAGCUUCAGGCUCAGGAAGCCCUGCAGAAUGGCCAACUCAGUGGUGGGGAUGGUGUACCUGAUCUGCAGCCUGGAGUCUUGGCCAGCCAGGCCAUGAUCGAGAAGAUCCUGGGUGAGGAUCCCCGGUGGCAAGACAGUAACUUCGUAUUGGGAAGCUAUAAGACAGAGCAGUGCCCAAAGCCACCACGCCUAUGUCGCCAGGGCUACGCCUGUCCACACUACCACAACAGCAGAGACCGCCGUCGGAACCCCAGGAGGUUCCAGUACAGGUCCACACCUUGCCCUAGUGUGAAACACGGUGACGAAUGGGGCGAGCCCUCACGGUGUGAGGGUGGGGACAGCUGUCAGUACUGCCAUUCCCGCACGGAGCAACAAUUCCAUCCUGAGAUCUACAAAUCUACAAAAUGCAACGAUAUGCGCCAGACUGGCUACUGCCCUCGGGGCCCUUUCUGUGCCUUUGCACACGUAGAGAAAAGCCUGGGAAUGGUGAAUGACUGGAGCUGCCGUGACCUCAGUUCCAACAGCGCCUCGACUUACAGCAGCCAGCCUGGAAGUGCCAAACGGAAAGACUCUCCCUCUGAAGGAAACCAGAAAACUAGUGAGGACAGCAAGCAGAACCACCUUGCUGUGUUCUCAGUGGUUCACCCACUGGCCCCCAGCAUAAGCUCCAGUGUGGCAUCUAGCCUGGCAUCCAGCACUGGCUCAGGUAGCUCCUCCCCCACCGCUCUGCCUACCCUCCCUGCCCGUGCCCUCCCACUGGAUCCAGCUGGCAACACUGUGGAGGCAGUUCUAGGUUCGGCCUUAGAUCUUCACCUUAGUGACAUAAAUAUCGCGUCCUUAGAUAAAGACUUGGAAGAGCAGGACCUUGGAUCGACAGGUCCCAGGUCGCUGGCAGGCUCAGCACCCGUCACCAUUCCGGGCUCCCUGCCCCGCUCGCCAUCCUUGCACUCGUCCUCAUCCCUGUCCACCUCCCCACUCAGCUCGCUCUCCCAGUCCCUGUCUGGGCCACUCGUCUCCUCGGCUAUGACGCCCCCCCAGCAGCCACCACCCCUCCGGUCGGAGCCGGCUACGCUGGGCUCUGCAGCCUCAUCUUACAGCUCUUUAGGUUUGAACGGCGUCCCUGGGAGCAUCUGGGACUUUGUUUCUGGCAGCUUCUCUCCUAGCCCAUCCCCCAUUCUGAACUCUGGCCCUUCGGCUUCCUCAAGUGCAAGUCCAAACAGUGCUGAGCUGGCACGGGUCAGGCGACAGCUAGAUGAAGCCAAAAGAAAGAUCAGGCAGUGGGAAGAGUCUUGGCAGCAAGUGAAGCAGGCCUGUGAUGCCUGGCAGAGAGAGGCUCAGGAGGCCAAGGAGAGAGCCCGUGUAGCGGACAAUGACCGGCAGUUGGCCCUGCAGAAGAAGGAGGAAGUGGAGGCCCAGGUAAAGCAGCUGCAGGAAGAACUAGAGGGCCUGGGUUUGUCCUCACUGCCAGGCCUACGGAGCUUGGGUGACAUCAACGACAUCCCUCUCCCCAAGCUGCAUUCCCUGCAGAGCCAGCUGCGCCUAGACCUGGAGGCUGUGGAUGGGGUGAUCUUCCAGCUUCGUGCCAAACAGUGUGUGGGCUGCCAGGAGAGGGCCCAUGGCACUGUCCUCCGGCCCUGCCAGCACCGUGUCUUAUGCGAGCUGUGUGCAGCCAAUACCCCCGAGUGCCCCUACUGCAAGGGCCAGCCCCUCCCAUGGUGACCAGAGCGAGACCUAUUCCUUCCCUGGUGAGCAGUGCAAAGGCCUCAGCAUGCCAUGUGCCACUUCAGUGUCGAAACUUGCCUCCAGUCCCACCCACGCCAGGAUACAAUUUCAUGCUAAUGAAAAAUGCAGCAAAGGAACCAGACAUUCAGAGGAGUCCAAGAUCUACUCGGAAGGAGCUUUGUUCUGAUGUCUUGUCUGUAAUGGCAACGGUGCUUUGUACCCUGAGUCACCCGGGGCACCCUAGCUUGUGCUGAACAAAGGGGCUGUGAACCUGAGACUUCAGUCUGCUGCCCCUGUGAUCACCCUCACUCACCGCUAGCUGAUCCAGAGAUUCUGGGACAGCUUUAGCAGACAUCUGGUACCUGAGCUGUGCAUCCAAUUAUGAUCAGAAUCCAUCCCAUGACGAGCAGCCCCAGCUCUGCUGCAGCUCACCCGGCAGCUUCCAAGGAAAAGGCAGCACCCUCACAGCUUGGCCUCAGGCCCAUGGCUAAAAUCCUGCUGAGAAUGUGUCUAGGGUGAUGACUUCAGCCUUCUAUAGUAAGGACUGGGACUGUUCCUGGAAAUCUAGGGAGGAGACAUCUGUCCAGGCAACCCCUGCUUUUGGUGGCAGACCUAGGCAGGGCAGGUAUCCUACCUGCAGGUUCUGCCCAGGCCUAGAAGUGGUUCUCCUCUCCCAUGGCUUUGCCAAAGACUUUUAAUAGCAUUUUUUAAGUGCAAAGUGACUAGGUAAAACGUUUUUAUCAGUGACCAAAUUAGAAUGUAUUUAAUAUAGUAGGAGAUUGAAACGCAUUUUCUAAUACAAGACAAACUGGUAGAAAAGCUCUAUCAUUUUAAAGGAAGUGGAUCCUCAACAUUCCGCAGCUAGCCCACUACUUAAUAAGGUAACUAUUGACCUGGUUUUAGUGAUACUUCGUUUCUAAUUAUAGUGGUAAUGAUUUAUUAGCUCAGUACCUAGAUCAUGUGUAUUUCGUGCUACUGUUACCAUGGUUUAAGAUUGUUUAUUUUUAUUCAUAUUUAUGCACUUGUUUCCCAUAUUGGCCUUUGGUCUCUGUGGUAACAGGACAAUAUUUGUGAUUGGUAGCUCAUCUGGACAUUCAAGCUGUAACAGUUACAAGCAUUAAGCUUUAGAUUGUGUGUGUAAGCUACUCUGGCCAACUCCUCCUGGGCUGACAUUCCGGGCUGGGGCUGUGGCAGUUAUGGGACUGCUGUGUGAUACAUCAGUCUACGGGGUCCCACCCAGUGACAGGAGUUUUCUUGAGCAUCUGCUUUCUGGAAUCAGGCUGGGCUCUGAGGACAGGUGUGCAGGGGGAAGACCAAAGAAGGGGCUACUUCUCCCAUCCAUCCCAGACCUCCUGUGAGCUAAGGCUCCUGGGGUCUAUCCUGGGUGGGAAGAGCCAAGGAGGAGAGAGAUGUGUUUCAGGCCCACAUAUGUGUACUGGAGGUGAAGCUGUGGGUCUAGGAACUGAGGCUCACCAUUGUCCUGUUGCCUAUUGUCUUUUAACUCUCUAGUGUUAAAUAUUAACAGUUAAAUGAUGGUGUCAGAGUUUUGUGUACCUGGUUGGCAGACCUUUCCCCAGUGUGGAUGCGCAUGUGGAUUAACUUAUGGAAGCCUUUGUGUGCAUUUGUUUUCAGAAGUUAGCUGAGAAUGUUAUGUGAAUGGAAUCUUCUUAAUCCAGAAGGUCAUAUUUAUAAUACAUACCCAUUUACUUAGUGAAUUGUUUAAAGUUGUUAACAUUUGUUUAAAUUUUUUUACUAUAGCAUUUAUGCAAUGGUUUACAGAAUUCAUGGAGUUAUUUUUUAUCAGUAUGAGAUUAAAACUUUGAAAUUUA